GCUAAACAUGUACACCUUACAAUCAUUCCAUACACCAAAUAUAGUAGACCUAUUGCAUAUAGUAUAAGAAAAACAGACCAAAACACAAAAAACUUAACUAUAACCACUGAAACACGAAAAUGAGGUCAAGGUCAGAUGACACCUGCCAGUUGGACAUGUACACCUUACAGUCCUUCCAUACACCGAAUAUACAAGACCUAUUGCUUAUAGUAUCUGAGAUAUGGACUUGACCACCAAAACUUAACCUUGUUCACUGAUCCAUGAAAUGAGGUCGAGGUCAAGUGAAAACUGUCUGACGGGCAUGAGGACCUUGCAAGGUACGCACAUACCAAAUAUAGUUAUCCAACUACUUAUAAUAAGAGAGAAUUUAACAUUACAAAAAAUCUUCACUUUGUUUUCAAGUAGUCACUGAACCAUGAAAAUGAGGUCAAGGACAUUGGACAUGUGACUG
rnacentral:lncRNA from 1 species